rnacentral:lncRNA from 1 species
AAUAGAUGAAACACAGUGGAGUUCCAGGGCAAGGAAACUGUUUUAUAAGAUACUGUAUUGCUGGAUACAUGUCAUUAUACAUUUGCCCAAACCCAUGAACGGUACAAGAUCAAUAGUCAGCCCUAUGUAAACUAUGGACUUCAGGUGAUUAUGAAAUAUCAGUGUAGGUUUGUUGAUUGUAACAAAUAUACCACUCUUUUUUUUUUUUUUUUUUGAGAUGGAGUCUCCUACAUACCACUCUUAAUGGGGGUUGUUGUUAAGAGGGGAGGCUGCGCAUAUGUGGGGUAGGCAAUAUGUGGGAAAUCUCUAUGUCUUCCUCUUAAUUUUGCUGUGAACCUAAAACUUCUCUUAAAACUAAUGUCUUUUAAUAAAAAAACAUGUUUUACUUUGUGAUCAGUAAAAAUUAUGCCCAAGAUUAUACUUAGAUACAUAACUAGUUACAAAUCAUUACAAUAAUUCCCCUGAGAAAGUUUACUUUUGUUCACUAUUGUUUACAUACAAGAAAAAGUUAAUGGUUUUAUAAGGAAGAUAUUUAGUAAUCAGAAUUGAAUAUGUGUAUACUACAUUUGAUCAGAAAAUACCUAAAAUUAUUACCUGGGAAUAUUGGUUAAUUCAUUCUAUUGUGUAUGCACCCAUGUGUGAUGAAGGGAGAAGGGAGAUGAAAUAAUACCAGCAUCCUGAACCUGAAUGUCCAGCUUCGCCUUGUUCUUUGUGGAUUAUAAGACCAUUGAUUAAAUAAAUCCUUUCAUCAAAAUUAUCUUAAAAAAGAAACUACCAUCUAAAUCCAGUUAU